GGCCAGUUAGCUCAGUCGGUUAGAGCUUGGUGCUGAUAACACCAAGGUCCGGGGUUCAAUCCCUGCACCGGCCA